rnacentral:rRNA from 1 species
GACGAACGCUGGCGGCGUGCCUAAUACAUGCAAGUAGAACGCUGAAGGAGGAGCUUGCUUCUCUGGAUGAGUUGCGAACGGGUGAGUAACGCGUAGGUAACCUGCCUGGUAGCGGGGGAUAACUAUUGGAAACGAUAGCUAAUACCGCAUAAUAGUAGAUGUUGCAUGACAUUUGCUUAAAAGGUGCAAUUGCAUCACUACCAGAUGGACCUGCGUUGUAUUAGCUAGUUGGUGGGGUAACGGCUCACCAAGGCGACGAUACAUAGCCGAACUGAGAGGGUGAUCGGCCACACUGGGACUGAGACACGGCCCAGACUCCUACGGGAGGCAGCAGUAGGGAAUCUUCGGCAAUGGACGGAAGUCUGACCGAGCAACGCCGCGUGAGUGAAGAAGGGUUUCGGAGCGUAAAGCUCUGUUGUAAGAGAAGAACGAGUGUGAGAGUGGAAAGUUCACACUGUGACGGUAUCUUACCAGAAAGGGACGGCUAACUACGUG